rnacentral:misc_RNA from 1 species
AAGCACCGGGUCUCCUCCUAUGAAUGAUGCAAGUCUGGAUGAUGAAGCCUCAUGGAUACAUGGUCAUAUUGCAAAUGGAAUGAACUCUUUGUUUGGCAAUGCCAGCGAGCAAGACCUAUCUGUAACAAAGGAUGAUAUUCUGCGGUAUCUGGAUCUUGUACAUGUCCAAAAAUUAGAUAUACCAUUCAUUGCCAUGUAUAGGAAGGAGG